rnacentral:rRNA from 1 species
GACGAACGCUGGCGGCGUGCCUAAUACAUGCAAGUCGAGCGAACUUCUUUAGAGCUUGCUUUAAAGAAGUUAGCGGCGGACGGGUGAGUAACACGUGGGCAACCUGCCUGUAAGACUGGGAUAACUUCGGGAAACCGGAGCUAAUACCGGAUAAUAUAUAGUACCUCCUGGUACUAUAUUGAAAGUUGGUUUCGGCUAACACUUACAGAUGGGCCCGCGGCGCAUUAGCUAGUUGGUGAGGUAACGGCUCACCAAGGCAACGAUGCGUAGCCGACCUGAGAGGGUGAUCGGCCACACUGGGACUGAGACACGGCCCAG